CUCCGCCGGCGACCGGCGCACGGGUGAGUAACACGUAUGCAACCUGCCCCUGUCAGGGGACAACCCGCCGAAAGGCGGGCUAAACCCGCGUACAUGCCACCGGGGCAUCCCGGGAGGCAGGAAAGGCUUCGGCCGGACAGGGAUGGGCAUGCGGCGCAUUAGGCAGUAGGCGGGGUAACGGCCCACCUAACCGACGAUGCGUAGGGGUUCUGAGAGGAAGGUCCCCCACAUGGUACUGAGACACGGACCAGACUCCUACGGGAGGCAGCAG
rnacentral:rRNA from 1 species